rnacentral:rRNA from 1 species
GACGAACGCUGGCGGCGUGCUUAACACAUGCGAGUCGAACGGAAAGGCCCCUUUGGGGGUACUCGAGUGGCGAACGGGUGAGUAACACGUGAGUAACCUGCCCUUGACUUCGGGAUAACUUCAGGAAACUGGGGCUAAUACCGGAUAGGAAUCCUUGCUGCAUGGUGGGGGUUGGAAAGCUUCGGCGGUUUUGGAUGGACUCGCGGCUUAUCAGCUUGUUGGUGGGGUAGUGGCUUACCAAGGCUUUGACGGGUAGCCGGCCUGAGAGGGCGACCGGCCACAUUGGGACUGAGAUACGGCCCAGACUCCUACGGGAGGCAGCAGUGGGGAAUAUUGCACAAUGGGCGGAAGCCUGAUGCAGCAACGCCGCGGGCGGGAGGACGGCCUUCGGGUUGUAAACCGCUUUCAGCAGGGGCGAAGCUUGUGGUGACGGUACCUGCAGAAGAAGCACCGGCUAACUACGUG